rnacentral:rRNA from 1 species
GACGAACGCUGGCGGCGUGCUUAACACAUGCAAGUCGAACGGAAAGGCCCUGCUUUUGUGGGGUGCUCGAGUGGCGAACGGGUGCGUAACACGUGAGUAACCUGCCCUUGACUUUGGGAUAACUUCAGGAAACUGGGGCUAAUACCGGAUAGGAGCUCCUGCUGCAUGGUGGGGGUUGGAAAGUUUCGGCGGUUGGGGAUGGACUCGCGGCUUAUCAGCUUGUUGGUGGGGUAGUGGCUUACCAAGGCUUUGACGGGUAGCCGGCCUGGGAGGGUGACCGGCGACAUUGGGACUGAGAUACGGCCCGGACUCCUACGGGAGGCAGCAGUGGGGAAUAUUGCACAAUGGGCGGAAGCCUGAUGCAGCAACGCCGCGUGCGGGAUGACGGCCUUCGGGUUGUAAACCGCUUUCGCCUGUGACGAAGCGUGAGUGACGGUAAUGGGUAAAGAAGCACCGGCUAACUACGUG